GGAAGUAAAAGUCGUAAACAAGGUCUCCGUUGGUGAACCAGCGGAGGGAUCAUUACUGGAAUCGCAAGAUCCCACAACCCUGUGAACCUACCGAAACGUUGCCUCGGCGGGUGCCCGGCCCCCGCGCCGGGCGCUGCGCCCGCCGGCGGCCCCCUACUCUGUCUCUGCAGCGUGGCAUCUCAGAGUCCCAGAAAACAAGCCAAAACUUUCAACAACGGAUCUCUUGGCUCUA
rnacentral:misc_RNA from 1 species